rnacentral:rRNA from 1 species
GGGGGGGGGGGGGGGGGGGGGGCGGAGGGGGAGGGAGCGGGAACGGGGAGCAGGUUGCGGCGUUGCUGGCGGGGGGCGGACGGGUGAGGAAGGUCUGGGAAACUGCCUGAUGGAGGGGGGUAACUACUGGAAACGGUAGCUAAUACCGCAUAACGUCGCAAGACCAAAGAGGGGGACCUUCGGGCCUCUUGCCAUCGGAUGUGCCCAGAUGGGAUUAGCUAGUAGGUGGGGUAACGGCUCACCUAGGCGACGAUCCCUAGCUGGUCUGAGAGGAUGACCAGCCACACUGGAACUGAGACACGGUCCAGACUCCUACGGGAGGCAGCAGUGGGGAAUAUUGCACAAUGGGCGCAAGCCUGAUGCAGCCAUGCCGCGUGUAUGAAGAAGGCCUUCGGGUUGUAAAGUACUUUCAGCGGGGAGGAAGGGAGUAAAGUUAAUACCUUUGCUCAUUGACGUUACCCGCAGAAGAAGCACCGGCUAACUCCGUG